UGAGGAACAUCACUCUAUCAGGUUUCGCCACAAUGGCCGGGACUCUGCUUCUCUUCACAUUCCUCCUCUCCAUUGGUCCCAGUGUCCAGCAGCUGCAGACCCUGAAGGACCCAGAAUUCGUGGCUCCGGGUGGGACGGUCACCAUGUCUUGCAGAUUCGAUAGUGGAAACAUUGGUGAUGGCAAUUACCCUUGGUGGGCACAGAAAAAACCAGGGAGUAAACCUCGGACAGUGAUGUAUACCACUAGCAGCAGACCAUCUGAUGUCCCAGCCCGUUUCUCUGGCUCCAGGUCAGGGAAUGUGAUGUCCCUGACCAUUACGGGGGCUCAGGUAGAAGAUGAAGCGGCUUAUUACUGUUGCGCAUGGACUGGUAGCCAGGGGCACAGUGGUUCAUUCAGAUGGGGAAGUGAGACAAAAACCUUCUGCCCAUUUCCUUCUGUUUGCUUAUCAGCAGCAGAUCAACUAGCUAGAGAAGCUUCUGUUAUUUGUAUCCAGUUUGCAUUAGAGAUGAAACAAAUUCACUGA